rnacentral:piRNA from 1 species
UGAGUCCAUUUAAAGGUGAAGCACGGGAC